GACGAACGCUGGCGGCGUGCUUAAGACAUGCAAGUCGUACGAGAAAGUCUCUUCGGAGAUGAGUAAAGUGGCGCACGGGUGAGUAACGCGUGGGUAAUCUGCCCUUAGGUUUGGGAUAACCCCGGGAAACCGGAGCUAAUACCGAAUGAGACCACGAUGACUUCGGUCGAUGUGGGAAAAGGUGGCCUCUUCUUGAAAGCUAUCGCCAAAGGAUGAGCCCGCGUUUGAUUAGCUAGUUGGUGAGGUGAUGGCUCACCAAGGCGACGAUCAAUAGCUGGUCUGAGAGGAUGAUCAGCCACACUGGAACUGAGAUACGGUCCAGACUCCUACGGGAGGCAGCAGUCAGGAAUAUUGGGCAAUGGGCGAAAGCCUGACCCAGCAACGCCGCGUGAAGGAUGAAGGCCCUCGGGUCGUAAACUUCUGUCGAGAGGAAAGAAUGUGUACGGGUGAACAAUCCGUGCAUUUGACGGUACCUCCAAAGGAAGCACCGGCUAACUCCGUGCCAGCCGCCGCCGUAA
rnacentral:rRNA from 1 species